UACGUAGGGUGCAAGCGUUAUCCGGAAUUAUUGGGCGUAAAGAGCUCGUAGGCGGUUUGUCGCGUCUGCUGUGAAAUCUGGAGGCUCAACCUCCAGCCUGCAGUGGGUACGGGCAGACUAGAGUGCGGUAGGGGAGAUUGGAAUUCCUGGUGUAGCGGUGGAAUGCGCAGAUAUCAGGAGGAACACCGAUGGCGAAGGCAGAUCUCUGGGCCGUAACUGACGCUGAGGAGCGAAAGCAUGGGGAGCGAACAGG
rnacentral:rRNA from 1 species